GACAGAGGGUGCAAACGUUGUUCGGAAUUACUGGGCGUAAAGCGCGUGUAGGCAGCUUGGCAAGUCGGGUGUGAAAGCCCUGGGCUUAACCUAGGAAGUGCACUCGAAACUGCUUGGCUUGAGUUCUGGAGAGGAAGGCGGAAUUCUCGGUGUAGAGGUGAAAUUCGUAGAUAUCGAGAGGAGCACCGGUGGCGAAGGCGGCCUUCUGGACAGCAACUGACGCUGAGACGCGAAAGCGUGGGGAGCAAACAGG
rnacentral:rRNA from 1 species